rfam:Myotis davidii contig33577, whole genome shotgun sequence.
GGUGGUUCUUGGGUGGCACACCCUGGAAUCGGCUCCCUCCUCUCUGGCUCUGGUUGAGUCACCAGAGAACCGUA